UUUUAAUCUCAGCUGUAUGAAAUUCUGGAACAAUGUAGAACAAACCUAGAACAACCUGGAACAACCUUUAAAAUGUUUCUAACUUCAAAGUGCGGUGCCAACUUCCCGGAGGUCAACUACUACUAAAAACACUAGAAAACGAAAAUCUGCCUCUACCGCAGCAACUUCGUCUAUCGCUGAUGACGUGACAUUGCAGCCAGCUUAUAACGGUCCAGUUCCAAUUUCUAAAGCUAUACACGAAGACCCAUCAAGUCUUUGGAGGAUUGACGUCCUACCUCUCCAUUAUCACAGUUUUUACAAUACGAAAUUUCAAAUUCGAAGCCGUUUUAGGUGAGGAUGACUGUGACAGUAGAGCAUUUUAGUAAAGAAAAAUUUUAUUGUGGUACCCUCCGAUCCAACCGUAGAGGACUUCCUAAGAAAAUUAUAGGUACAAAAUUAAAAAGGUCAGACUACAGGAAAAAUGAAUCUUAAUGGCGAAAAAAAAAAAUGGUGUGAUAAACGCCAAGUUUUAAUACCUGCAAAGGACACAAUGCUAUUUUAGUAAACACAAGCAAUACCACUUACGAAGACAUUAAAAAACCUUCAUGCGUUCUCUUGUAUAAUGAAAACAAGAAAGGUAUUGACUACAGUGACUAAAUGUCAUCUUAUUACACGACUUUAAAACGGGGACUAAAAUGGUAUCGAAAAGUUAUGACAAAAUUUUUAUUUGGUACUUCUGUUCUGAACGCCUGGAUAAUUUAUAAUAUGUAUAAUACUUAUAACAAAAUGCGAAGAUUAAUUGUUAAAAAAGGAAAGAUUUCUUGAAAAACGAAAAUGACUCUUUCAAACAAAGAUUGAAGACAGCCAAGAAACUCCACAAAUUCUGCAUUUCAACAAACACUAAAUAAAUUCAAAACCUUGGCUGCUAUCUUCACUGUGAUGCAAUUUCGUGAAAUAAAUAAACCAAAAAUGGGACGUAGAUUCACCAAAGAGGAGAAUAUUAUGGCACUGAUGGAGACUUGGGAGGAUUGUGGCUGUGCAUCCAGGCUCUGAUGGAAUCAAUCGAGUUGCUGAUGUGAAGACGUCCACCGGCGCGCGUGCUUCGGCGUUCCUUCUCCAGAAUAUGUCCACUUCCUGAGGUUGUUGAUGGAUCUUGAAAGAAUAUCUUUCAACGCGGGGAGCAUGUUCUAAACUUUUUGUGCCUUAUGAUUUUUACCCCCUUAAGGCGCUGUGUUAUCUGUGAACAACAUUAUUUUCGUCACGUAAUUUGCUCAGAGUUUCGCAGUGUUGUUCCUCACUGACAUAUAUUUUCGCGAAAACUGUAAUUUUCAGAUUUUUUUAUUUAUUUUUCCUGGGGUAUUUAGAUCACCAAUAAACCAUUUUAGUGAAUAAAAUAUUGAAGUUAA